UUCCCUUGUGUGCAUGUGUGUGCUUUUUUAUAGAAAUGUGACCUCGUGCCUUUCAAAAGCAACAAAUAUCCUUUUUGUUGUUUGUCGUCUCUUUUCCGCAGCAUUGUCCUCCAAAAGUAAGCCAUCAGCAUGCCCCACUGAUGAGACUCCGAAGACUUCAAGGACAUCCAUCAAGACACCAACCUCCACGUCACAAAAGCCCAAUUGCCCCCCCAAUGUCUAUAACUCAAAACCUGACUGUGGAUCAAUACAACAUGUGUCCUCUCCCUCAUCAGCACAUUCCCAAAGAGAGAUUCCUAAAUCUUCACCCUCGCCUGUCUCGUUUCCGCCUGAUGUUUCUCCUUUUACUAGAACCAGAUCUCCAAUCCCAGAAGAGCAUCUCUCCCCCUUCUCCAUCCAUGUCCUCCUCCCUCAGAUCUACGUUCACAGUCUCACCGUCAAGCUCCACUGAAUCAACCUUAUUGCCCAACAUUUACCAAUCUACGCUAUUACAGAAAGGCUCAGACCUGUCUCUGUUACCAGAGCCGCCCCAAUCAUCCCAGUUAUUCCCACAACCAAUCUCAUCACUGGAGAUUUCCCAAUUGCCCCCAAGGCAAUCCCAACAAUCGUGCUGUGACCCAGAGUCUCUGCUAUCAGACAAUCAGCUCCAGCUGCCUCGGUCACCUGCGUUGUCUUCCAGUCCAACCCCCCCACCAAAAUAUGUGACACCAAGUCCACCUGUAAAGAAACUAUCCAGUGUGUCUGUAUUUAACGAGUCCCCUCUAGAUGCAUAUUGUAGUCAUGAGUCAACUUUAACAGAGGAUUCUUCAGUUUGUAUGUCCUCCACCGACAUCUCUGGUGACCACGAGUCCACUCAGGAUACGCGGUGUAUCCCGCCACUUCCAUCGCAUUUCUCACAUGGCAUCCAGAAUCCUCCUUUAGAUGUAGGAAUGGAGGAGGAAGAGGAGGAAGAGGAGCUAUCGAUAGACAGCGGGGAUGAAAUGUCCAGCGACAGCCUGGGUCUGGCUCCGCACGAGGAAGACUCUUCAGACGAAGAAGCACAGACGCACGCACGUUUAACGAGCGGGAGAUCCGGAGAAGAAAAGCGAUGGAAUCCUGCCUCAUCUCAGACCGAAGAUCUCUUUGUUCCUGAAGAUGCAGACAGAGAAGAAGAGUUGCAGACGGAUGAGCGAGAACAGCCGUCAGAUCCAUCCACGGUGAUGCGCCACCAGAGUGCUGGGUCUCCAUCAGAGCGGUUCUGUGAUCCGGAAGGGUUUCCGCCUCAGGGUUUGGACAGGACUUCUGGUCUCUCCGACACACAAGAACACACACGUUGUGACCCCCCGCUGCACACAUGCCGAGCUCCCCCGCGUGAUUCAGAGCCAACAGGGUCAGAGGGUUAUGGACCCAGCCGCAGCCUCAGUACCUACACUAAGGAACAUCUGGAUUCUGGACUGAUAAAGGACAACCACACGCAGCCAACUGGAAUUCAAAUUCACUUAACCAGACCCACCAGGAGAGAAGAAAUAUCAGCAAAUGAACUAGGAACAUCUGGGUCUGGCAAGUCCACACCAACUCCGUCUCAACAACUCACCGUCCAAAGACAAACCCACGCCAUCUCUCGUUCUCCAUCUCCUCCACUCUCUGCCUGCCUGUCCCGUCCCACAUCGGGCUCAGAAUUGGGUCCAGCAUUUCAUCCGUUGUCCCGGGCUGCCCAGGAGAUCAUGGAGAUCUGUGGCGUGGACCAGACGGGCUGUGAGGACCCUGACCUGGACACUGACACGACUGCACACACACUCCACUGUCUGGAGCAGGAACUCAGAUUCAUGGCCGACGCGAAGCAGGAAACAGUAUUUGGCACUGGAAGCAGUGAUAGUCCGGAUCAGCAUGGACAUCUUCGUUUGUCGCGGGGCAGAGCCAGCGAGGAACAAAAGGAUGAGGAGGCGGCUGCACAGAGGGACUGGCAGAGUGUCCUCUUACUACCCUGAGAUAUUCACACACACGUAACACGAGCACACACACUUACUUGUUAAAUAAGGAAGAAGACUUGAACACAGAGAUAUAAGAGACUGAAGUGAGAGAAACACACAAGAUGUAAUUUGAAUUGCGUGUGGCGUAAAGGCUGGAGCAGAUCUCUUGGAUCUCUUGCGCAAAUAGAUGAAGAUAAAAAUGUAAUGGUUUGAAAGACAUUGCUGAUAACGAUUAAAUGCUGUUUUAAUUUGAGGUAUGAUUUGUGUCUCUUUCUGUCCAUGUUUUCUGUGCACAAU
rnacentral:lncRNA from 1 species